rnacentral:rRNA from 1 species
GGGGAAUUUUCCGCAAUGGGCGAAAGCCUGACGGAGCAAUACCGCGUGAGGGAGGAAGGCUCUUGGGUUGUAAACCUCUUUUCUGAGGGAAGAAAAAAAUGACGGUACCUCAGGAAUAAGCAUCGGCUAACUCCGUGCCAGCAGCCGCGGUAAUACGGAGGAUGCAAGCGUUAUCCGGAAUGAUUGGGCGUAAAGCGUCCGCAGGUGGCAUUUCAAGUCUGCGGUCAAAGGUCGAGGCUCAACCUCGAACAGGCCGUGGAAACUGAAAAGCUAGAGUGUGGUAGGGGCAGAGGGAAUUCCCAGUGUAGCGGUGAAAUGCGUAGAGAUUGGGAAGAACACCGGUGGCGAAAGCGCUCUGCUAGGCCAAGACUGACACUGAGGGACGAAAGCUAGGGGAGCGAAUGGGAUUAGAUACCCCAGUAGUCCUAGCCGUAAACGAUGGAUACUAGGUGUAGCUUGUAUCGACCCAAGCUGUGCCGUAGCUAACGCGUUAAGUAUCCCGCCUGGGGAGUACGCGCGCGAGCGUGAAACUCAAAGGAAUUGACGGGGGCCCGCACAAGCGGUGGAGUAUGUGGUUUAAUUCGAUGCAACGCGAAGAACCUUACCAGGACUUGACAUGUCGCGAAUCUGAGUGAAAGCUUAGAGUGCCUUCGGGAGCGCGAACACAGGUGGUGCAUGGCUGUCGUCAGCUCGUGUCGUGAGAUGUUGGGUUAAGUCCCGCAACGAGCGCAACCCUCGUUUUUAGUUGCCAGCAUUAAGUUGGGCACUCUAGAGAGACUGCCGGUGACAAACCGGAGGAAGGUGGGGAUGACGUCAAGUCAGCAUGCCCCUUACGUUCUGGGCUACACACGUACUACAAUGCUACGGACAAAGGGCAGCAAGCCAGCGAUGGCAAGCCAAUCCCAUAAACCGUGGCUCAGUUCAGAUUGCAGGCUGCAACUCGCCUGCAUGAAGGCGGAAUCGCUAGUAAUCGCAGGUCAGCACUACUGCGGUGAAUACGUUCCCGGGCCUUGUACACACCGCCCGUCACACCAUGGAAGCUGGCAGUGCCCGAAGUCGUUACCCUAACCAUUCGUGGAGGGGGAUGCCGAAGGUGUGGCUGGUGACUGGGGUGAAGUCGUAACAAGGUAGCCGUACCGGAAGGUGUGGCUGGAUCACCUCCUU